ACGAAGUAGAAUUAGGCUAUGGACGCGACAACCCUGGUCUUUGGAACCAGGUGUCGGGGGUUCGAAUCCCUCCAGGCGUACCA
rnacentral:tRNA from 1 species